GCGGCUGAUGUGAAAAGAGAUUAAAGGUUUGAUUACUACUCAAGGCAGAAGAAUUCUUAAAUGAGGGUUUUUAUUACGGCAACCUUUUUAACAAGCCUGCAGUCGAGCUAAGGACAAAGAAGUAAUUACAAUGUUUGUAAUAGCUGGGUACGGAGGAUGGGAGAUCAAGGCAUCAAUUCAACCACCGUACCUCUUGGGGUUUGUGCUGCGUUUCGUCGGUCGCGAGCGAUUGUGUGUUCUCCCAUUUUUCAGCGACUUGAUUCACCUCUUCUAUUUUUUGCUGGCACGUUUUCUGGGAGUCGAGCAGCGUCACUUCAUAAAACUCUUGAAUGUCUGUCGGUAAAUGAAAAAUAUUUUUUAAAAAAAAAUGACUGUGUUUAAUAACAGCGCGGUGGUUAUAAAUCGUUUGCCUGAAAACCAUCACGCACGGAGCACCGACUGGCAACAGUGUUGUAGUCGGAAAUUCUUUUUCCUAGUAGAAGGUUAUUGACAUGUAAAAUUAGCAUUCGAUAAUGCCAGAACUUUCUUUUUUUAAAGAAUCCUUUUCCUUUUAAAAAUACUUAUAUUAAUCUUUUCAUAAAUAUUGCAUGAACGUAUGAA